AGGUGUUCGUCCGACUUGACCUUCUCCACCGUUAGCUGGAGUCGUACGCGUUCUCAGGAUGGCGCAGUUCCACUUGCUGGACCCUCACUACGACGAGCACCACAGGGGCCGUCUCACCGCAGAGGGAGAGGUGUUGCCCGUUCUGCGGGUCCGGACCCACGACCGGUUUCUGGAGGAGAUGAGGUACGAUG